CCUACGGGUGGCAGCAGUGAGGAAUAUUGGUCAAUGGGCGCGAGCCUGAACCAGCCAAGUCGCGUGAGGGAGGACGGCCCUACGGGUUGUAAACCUCUUUUGCCGGGGAGCAACGGGCGUCACGUGUGGCGCCUCUGAGAGUACCCGGAGAAAAAGCAUCGGCUAACUCCGUGCCAGCAGCCGCGUUAAUACGGGGGAUGCGAGGGUUAUCCGGUUUUAUGGGGUUAAAGGGGUGCGUAGGCGGAUCGUUAAGUAAGUGGGAAAAUUGGGGGGCUAAACCCCUUCCCGCCAUUGAAACUGGCGCUCUUGAGUGGAAGAGAGGUAUGCGGAAUGCGUGGUGUAGCGGUGAAAUGCAUAGAUAUCACGCAGAACCCCGAUUGCGAAGGCAGCAUGCCGGCUUCCGACUGACGCUGAAGCACGAAAGCGUGGGGAUCGAACAGGAUUAGAUACCCUUGUAGUC
rnacentral:rRNA from 1 species